rnacentral:lncRNA from 1 species
CAGAGGACAUGCUGGACCCAUAAUCACAGGGAGUUUGAGGCAGAUUCUGGAAUCUGUCAUUGCCUUGCCUUUAAGUCCAUGGCAGAUGGCAGACCUAUCCAGGGACUGCCUAGAUGCCUCUAGAAAUUAAUUAAGAUCUCAUCACAAUCAAACUCACCUCAGGAUCUUCUAAGAAGAAGGAGUUCUUCAGAUGCUGACAGUCAGGGUUGGAGACUACUGCAGAGGCUGAGGUCUUGUCCCACUGUCGAGCCUUGUCAUUAAUAGCAACCUUGAUCCUGCUAUAUGAAGCACACAUGGAAUGGAUGGUUCUCACGCAGAGAGCAUCUCUUCACAUGGAAAGCAAUUUUGCACGAGGACGCAAGAAAGGAUGCAAAGAUUUGUGCCAAGGCCUGCUAAGGCAGGGCAGGUGGAAGAAUUCUGUCUUUGUUGGAAGCCGGGCUGAAUGGCCUCCCCAGUCUACUGUCACUGACAUUUGGGUGAUCUCAGCGCUAGUGGAGUCAUCCAAUAUCUGCGGCACUGCUGAGAGACUCCCGUCCACGUCUGCAAGGAAGGUCAUGCAGAGCCAGUACCCAGUGCUUUGGAAGAAGCCAGUGCAUCAUGAUGCCUUAGAAGUCUUCCAAAAAUCAGUCCUGGGGUAAGAGAGAGGAGGAGAGGAGAGGGAGAGGAGAGGGAGAGGAGAGGGAGAGGAGA